UGAACGCUGGCGGCGUGCCUACUACAUGCAAGUCGAGCGAACAGACGAGGAGCUUGCUCCUCUGACGUUAGCGGCGGACGGGUGAGUAACACGUGGAUAACCUACCUAUAAGACUGGGAUAACUUCGGGAAACCGGAGUUAAUACCGGAUAAUAUAUUGAACCGCAUGGUUCAAUAGUGAAAGACGGUUUUGCUGUCACUUAUAGAUGGAUCCGCGCCGCAUUAGCUAGUUGGUAAGGUAACGGCUUACCAAGGCAACGAUGCGUAGCCGACCUGAGAGGGUGAUCGGCCACACUGGAACUGAGACACGGUCCAGACUCCUACGGGAGGCAGCAGUAGGGAAUCUUCCGCAAUGGGCGAAAGCUUGACGGAGCAACGCCGCGUGAGUGAUGAAGGUCUUCGGAUCGUAAAACUCUGUUAUUAGGGAAGAACAAAUGUGUAAGUAACUAUGCACGUCUUGACGGUACCUAAUCAGAAAGCCACGGCUAACUACGUG
rnacentral:rRNA from 1 species